AUGUCUGUCUGUCGGUCUGUCUUCUCUAUAUUCAUCACUCGACCUCUGUCAUUAUGCAGGGCCUGUCUGUCUGCCUGUCUGUCAGAGAAAGGCAUUAUUACAUGGGAUUUAUGUGUUGUUCCUCGCUUCCCUCCUCUCCUCUCUUCCCUCCUCUCUUCCCUUCUCUCUCCUCCUCUUCCCUCUCCUCUCUUCCCUUCUCUCUCCUCUCUUCCCUUCUCCUCUCCUCCCUUCUCUCUCCUCUCUUCCCUCCUCUCGUCUCUUCCCUUCUCUCUCCUCUCUUCCCUUCUCCUCUCCUCCCUUCUCUCUCCUCUCUUCCCUCCUCUCCUCUCUUCCCUUCUCUCUCCUCUCUUCCCUUCUCCUCUCCUCCCUUCUCUCUCCUCUCUUCCCUCCUUUCUUCUCUUCCCUUCUCUCUCCUCUCUUCCCUCCUCUCCUCUCUUCCCUCCUCUCUUCCCUCCUCUCCUCUCUUCCCUCCUCUCCUCUCUUCCCUCCUCUCUUCUCUUCCCUUCUCUCUCCUCCUCUUCCCUUCUCUCUCCUCCUCUUCCCUUCUCUCUCCUCCUCUUCCCUCCUCUCCUCUUCUCCUCUCUUCCCUUCUCUCUCCUCCCUUCUCUCUCCUCCUCUUCCCUUCCCUCUCCUCUCUUCCCUUCUCUCUCCUCUCUUCCCUUCUCCUCUCCUCCCUUCUCUCUCCUCUCUUCCUCCUCUCCUCUCUUCCCUUCUCUCUCCUCUCUUCCCUUCUCCUCUCCUCCCUUCUCUCUCCUCUCUUCCCUCCUCUCCUCUCUUCCCUUCUCUCUCCUCUCUUCCCUUCUCCUCUCCUCCCUUCUCUCUCCUCUCUUCCCUCCUCUCUUCUCUUCCCUUCUCUCUCCUCUCUUCCCUCCUCUCUUCUCUUCCCUUCUCUCUCCUCUCUUCCCUCCUCUCCUCUCUUCCCUCCUCUCUUCCCUCCUCUCCUCUCUUCCCUCCUCUCCUCUCUUCCCUCCUCUCUUCUCUUCCCUUCUCUCUCCUCCUCUUCCCUUCUCUCUCCUCCUCUUCCCUUCUCUCUCCUCCUCUUCCCUCCUCUCCUCUUCUCCUCUCUUCCCUUCUCUCUCCUCCCUUCUCUCUCCUCCUCUUCCCUUCCCUCUCCUCUCUUCCCUCCUCUCUCCUCUCUUCCCUUCUCUCCUCUCUUCCCUUCUCCUCUCUUCCCUUCUCUCUCCUCUCUUCCCUCCUCUUCUCUCUCCUCUCUCCUCCUCUCCUCUCUUCCCUUCUCCUCUCCUCCCUUCUCUCUCCUCUCUUCCCUCCUCUCUUCUCUUCCCUUCUCUCUCCUCUCUUCCCUCCUCUCCUCUCUUCCCUCCUCUCUUCCCUCCUCUCCUCUCUUCCCUCCUCUCCUCUCUUCCCUCCUCUCUUCUCUUCCUUCUCUCUCCUCCUCUUCCCUCCUCUCCUCCUCUUCCCUCCUCUCCUCUCUUCCCUCCUCUCUCCUCCUCUUCCCUCCUCUUCUCUCUCCUCCUCUCCUCUCUUCCCUCCUCUCUCCUCCUCUUCCCUCCUCUUCUCUCUCCUCCUCUUCCCUCCUCUCUCCUCCUCUUCCCUCCUCUUCUCUCUCCUCUCUCCUCCUCUCCUCUCUUCCCUCCUCUCUCCUCCUCUUCCCUCCUCUUCUCUCUCCUCCUCUUCCCUUCUCUCUCCUCUCUUCCCUCCUCUUCUCUCUUCUCUCUCCUCCUCUUCCCUUCUCUCUCCUCUCUUCCCUCCUCUUCCCUCCUCUCCUCUUCUCCUCUCUUCCCUUCUCUCUCCUCCCUUCUCUCUCCUCCUCUUCCCUUCCCUCUCCUCUCUUCCCUUCUCUCUCCUCUCUUCCCUUCUCCUCUCCUCCCUUCUCUCUCCUCUCUUCCCUCCUCUCCUCUCUUCCCUUCUCUCUCCUCUCUUCCCUUCUCCUCUCCUCCCUUCUCUCUCCUCUCUUCCCUCCUCUCCUCUCUUCCCUUCUCUCUCCUCUCUUCCCUUCUCCUCUCCUCCCUUCUCUCUCCUCUCUUCCCUCCUCUCUUCUCUUCCCUUCUCUCUCCUCUCUUCCCUCCUCUCUUCUCUUCCCUUCUCUCUCCUCUCUUCCUCCUCUCCUCUCUUCCCUCCUCUCUUCCCUCCUCUCCUCUCUUCCCUCCUCUCCUCUCUUCCCUCCUCUCUUCUCUUCCCUCUCUCUCUCCUCCUCUUCCCUUCUCUCUCCUCCUCUUCCUUCUCUUCUCCUCCUCUUCCCUCCUCUCCUCUUCUCCUCUCUUCCCUUCUCUCUCCUCCCUUCUCUCUCCUCCUCUUCCCUUCCCUCUCCUCUCUUCCCUCCUCUCUCCUCUCUUCCUUCUCUCCUCUCUUCCCUUCUCCUCUCUUCCCUUCUCUCUCCUCUCUUCCCUCCUCUUCUCUCUCCUCUCUCCUCCUCUCCUCUCUUCCCUUCUCCUCUCCUCCCUUCUCUCUCCUCUCUUCCCUCCUCUCUUCUCUUCCCUUCUCUCUCCUCUCUUCCCUCCUCUCCUCUCUUCCCUCCUCUCUUCCCUCCUCUCCUCUCUUCCCUCCUCUCCUCUCUUCCCUCCUCUCUUCUCUUCCCUUCUCUCUCCUCCUCUUCCCUCCUCUCCUCCUCUUCCCUCCUCUCCUCUCUUCCCUCCUCUCUCCUCCUCUUCCCUCCUCUUCUCUCUCCUCCUCUCCUCUCUUCCCUCCUCUCUCCUCCUCUUCCCUCCUCUUCUCUCUCCUCCUCUUCCCUCCUCUCUCCUCCUCUUCCCUCCUCUUCUCUCUCCUCUCUCCUCCUCUCCUCUCUUCCCUCCUCUCUCCUCCUCUUCCCUCCUCUUCUCUCUCCUCCUCUUCCCUUCUCUCUCCUCUCUUCCCUCCUCUUCUCUCUUCUCUCUCCUCCUCUUCCCUUCUCUCUCCUCUCUUCCCUCCUCUUCUCUCUCCUCUCUCCUCCUCUCCUCCUCUUCCCUUCCCUCUUCUUUUCUUUCCUUUAUUCUCUUCUUUUCAUUUCUUCUCUUCUAUCUUACCUACUCUCCUUUUCCCUCAUCUAUAUACACGGGGUACCAGUACCGAGUCGAUGUGCAGGGGUACGAGGUAAUUGAGGUAUUGAUAGUCCAGGUAGUUAUUUGGUUAACUAUUCAACUAACUAUUUAA
ensembl:lncRNA